rnacentral:lncRNA from 1 species
UCGAGUUGAAGUUACUGCAUUCAGCUUUGUCUGGGCGAAAGGAGGCGUGGUCUCUGAUGGGGAGAAACACCCACACUAGGGAAGCUAACUCUCGCCUCCAAGGGAGCUCACCAGAGAGGUGCAAGGACGGGGCGCAAAAGGAUGGAUGGCUUGGAGGCAGCCGUUCGUGGCGUUAUUGGGCCUGGAGUCUGACCUCUCACUCUUUCAACAUUGGCUACUUUGAAAAGCAUUUGCUGCAAAAGAAAUGAAGGAAAGCAGAAAAGAGUCACUGCUCCAGGCCAUGGACUUCCUGGAAUGCAUGAGGCCUGCUAGGGAAGGAAGGUGUUCAAUUAUUUCUCUGCUGCCAGCAAAAAAAAAAAAAAAAA